UUUGGUAGAAGAAAGAAAGAUCUUUUCUCCUACAUAGUUGACAAGAUGCUUCAACGAGCGCUAAGCUACUCCACUCGCUUCCUCUCUUUGGCAGGAAAAGCCACCAUGCUGCAAGCAGUUCUCUCCGCGAUACCAACCUUUGCAAUGACCUGUUUUGAGCUCCCUAUCAGUCUCUGUAAACGUAUCCAAUCUGUUCUAACCAGAUUCUGGUGGGACUCGAAACAUGGGGAUAAUAAAAUAGCUUGGGUAUCAUGGGAGACACUUACACUUCCUAAAGGGCUAGGAGGCCUCGGAUUUCGGGAUAUUCAAGCUUUUAACCACGCACUCUUGGGGAAGAUAGCAUGGAGGCUCAUUACAAAACCAGACUGCCUCCUUUCGAGAGUUUUGACAGGCAAAUACUGCACGAACUCUUCCUUUCUCAAGGUAGAAGUCGCCACGUCAUGUUCCCACGGCUGGAGAGGGAUUCUCAAGGGCAGAGACUUGCUUCUUAGCCACCUAGGGAAGGCCAUAGGAGAUGGAGAAUCUACAAGUGUGUGGAAAGAGGCUUGGAUGGGCUCAGCUUCAUCCAUACAACCAAAGGGACCUGCGCUAGAAAAAGAUCAAGACUUGUUAGUCUCAGACCUCCUCUCUAGAGAAACUAAGGAAUGGAAUAAGGCCAAGAUAAACAACCUCCUCCCGGAAUUAGCUAACCUCAUUCUAAACAUUCGCCCUAGCAAGCAAGGAGCUCCGGACACUCACGUAUGGACUUAUCACGAGUCUGGUGAGUACACUGCAAAGUCAGGUUAUCUCUCACUUCAAUCUCCUAAGGUUCAAUCGACACUCCCACUCUUGAACAAUGACAUUGCUGGCUGGAAUUGGAACAAAUGUGUGUGGUCAGCUCAGAUGCUUCCUAAGAUAAAGAUGUUUAUUUGGAGGAUUGCCCAAAAUGCCUUACCAACGGGAGAAAAUCUCCAGAAGCGGGGGCUUCUUACCCCUAUUCUGUGCUGUAGAUGCGGGGAACCUGAAACUACUCUCCACCUCCUGUUUAAUUGUCCUUUCGCUCGCGAGGUAUGGAGCCUAGGUCCCUGGUCUCAUUUAGUCGAUGCCUCCCAAAUCGUGUCCUUUAAAGAGGCCCUCAUUUCGUCUGGCUCCUGGAUUUCUCUUCCUCCGUAUGGAUUCACAAUCAACGCUUUUCCUUGGAUUUGUUGGUAUCUGUGGGUCGCUAGGAACAAUCUUGUCUUCGAGAAGAAGCCUUCAACAGCACCCGAUGUUAUCCUCAAAGCCAUCAUUGCCCUUAAGGAAUGGGAUCACGCCCAAUCAAAGAUUCGCAACAAGGACUCAUCAUACCAGAUCAUCACCCGCUCCACCAACUACCAGAAUCUCCAUCCCAUCUCCAUUUGUUGCAAUACCGAUGCAGCGUGGCGAUCUGACACGGGAGUAGCGGGUUUGGCCUGGAUCUUCACCGAUCUCCAAGGAAAGGAGAUCUCUCGAGGAUCUCUAUUUCAGGAACACGUCUCCUCAGCUAUCAUGGCGGAAGCUUUAGCAAUAAGGAACGCUCUCCAUCACGCGAUCAACCUCAAGCUCAACACCAUCUGGUUAAAAUCAGAUUCUCAAGUGCUCAUCGGAGCAAUCACCGCGGGACGUCAUCCGACCGAGCUUUACGGAGUACUCUCGGACAUCGCCGCGUUAUCUCGUUCUUCUUCACUUUCAUGUCGUUUUUCAUUUAUCAAAAGGGAGCUAAAUGGGCCUGCGGACUUAUAUGCCAAGGCUUGUCUUCAUUCUGGCCCAAGCCCAAGCUCUUGAAUUUCCUAAACCUUCCUGCUUUAUAUUAAAAUCUUCAGUUGCCCAAAAAAAAAAAAAAACAUAACUUAUAAAAGCAUGUAAGUCGGUUGUGACUGUUAUUACUAGGCACUAGCAAAUCAGACGAAAUCUGCUUUUCCUUUUUAGGAUUUCCAUCUACGAACUUAUUUUUGGUAUUUUAAAAAUAAUUGUUAGUUGAUGUAUUUAAUGACGACAUAUUAUAGAACGAGUCUAGG
rnacentral:lncRNA from 1 species